rnacentral:lncRNA from 1 species
AAAACCAAGUCCCUUGCGUUGCAUAGUAUUCAUAUUCAUUGCACGUUGUGGGCCAAUGUUUCUCACUUUCGUCAUUCCAUUGUCAAUCGAAUGGAAUAGUUGAUUGGUUUAAAGUUCGUUUGUAUCAAGUCAUAGACAUCAAGUCAUGGACGUGGUAUAUGUCAGCUAUUGUUUUUAAUAAUUUAGGUAAAACAACUCUUAGAAUUCUGUAUUUUAGUAAUUCAGAAUUUUAAGAAUUGUUUUAGCUAAUUUUAGAAAUAAUUAUUUUUUAUAGAAUAACGAAAGUGAAAUCUCAUGAAAUCGUGGGUGGCAAACCCUAACAGAGCGCUUUUCUUCAUAAGUAUCAAUCAAAACACGGCUAGAGUCAUGAAUUAAUUCUAUCAAAA